GGGUUGUGAGGUUAAGCGACUAAGCGUACACGGUGGAUGCCCUGGCAGUCAGAGGCGAUGAAGGACGUGCUAAUCUGCGAUAAGCGUCGGUAAGGUGAUAUGAACCGUUAUAACCGGCGAUUUCCGAAUGGGGAAACCCAGUGUGUUUCGACACACUAUCAUUAACUGAAUCCAUAGGUUAAUGAGGCGAACCGGGGGAACUGAAACAUCUAAGUACCCCGAGGAAAAGAAAUCAACCGAGAUUCCCCCAGUAGCGGCGAGCGAACGGGGAGCAGCCCAGAGCCUGAAUCAGUGUGUGUGUUAGUGGAAGCGUCUGGAAAGGCGCGCGAUACAGGGUGACAGCCCCGUACACAAAAAUGCACAUACUGUGAGCUCGAUGAGUAGGGCGGGACACGUGGUAUCCUGUCUGAAUAUGGGGGGACCAUCCUCCAAGGCUAAAUACUCCUGACUGACCGAUAGUGAACCAGUACCGUGAGGGAAAGGCGAAAAGAACCCCGGCGAGGGGAGUGAAAAAGAACCUGAAACCGUGUACGUACAAGCAGUGGGAGCCUCUUUUAUGGGGUGACUGCGUACCUUUUGUAUAAUGGGUCAGCGACUUAUAUUCUGUAGCAAGGUUAACCGAAUAGGGGAGCCGAAGGGAAACCGAGUCUUAACUGGGCGUUAAGUUGCAGGGUAUAGACCCGAAACCCGGUGAUCUAGCCAUGGGCAGGUUGAAGGUUGGGUAACACUAACUGGAGGACCGAACCGACUAAUGUUGAAAAAUUAGCGGAUGACUUGUGGCUGGGGGUGAAAGGCCAAUCAAACCGGGAGAUAGCUGGUUCUCCCCGAAAGCUAUUUAGGUAGCGCCUCGUGAAUUCAUCUCCGGGGGUAGAGCACUGUUUCGGCAAGGGGGUCAUCCCGACUUACCAACCCGAUGCAAACUGCGAAUACCGGAGAAUGUUAUCACGGGAGACACACGGCGGGUGCUAACGUCCGUCGUGAAGAGGGAAACAACCCAGACCGCCAGCUAAGGUCCCAAAGUCAUGGUUAAGUGGGAAACGAUGUGGGAAGGCCCAGACAGCCAGGAUGUUGGCUUAGAAGCAGCCAUCAUUUAAAGAAAGCGUAAUAGCUCACUGGUCGAGUCGGCCUGCGCGGAAGAUGUAACGGGGCUAAACCAUG
rnacentral:rRNA from 1 species